CAAACUCCAAGCAAAGCUUGAUGUUGGGCGAUGUCCGCAGUUGUUGGUGGACAAGCCUGGAACGUGUGGGCUCCGACGGUGGGACCUCAAGCGUAGCAAGACGAAAGUCACCUCGCUUCUGAUGGGAUCUGUCGAUCGGACGUGCCUCUUUUUGGUCGUCACUCUUCGAUGAGAGAUGACUAGUUUUGAUA
rnacentral:misc_RNA from 1 species